rnacentral:misc_RNA from 1 species
AAUGUUAAAACUAUGCAGAUAUUUCAGAUAUCAAAAUGUAAGAUUUACAUUGCUAUCAUCAUCUCCCGGUCAAAAUGUACACGAUUAUACUGUUAAAACUAGGAACAGUGAAAUAUUUAUGAAGCCAGGAACUUCUCUGAGGUCCUAGUGAAACUAGGAGCUGCUUUGAGCUCGUUGUGAAAUCAGCAGAAACUGCUCUGUGAGCUUCCCGGGAUUCCAGGAACUGCUUUGCGAGCUCCUUUGUGAAACUAAAUACUGCUCUCUUAAGCCUUCGUGAAACCAAGAACUGCUCUGAGCUCCUCGUGACUAGGAAUUGUGAAAUCAGGAUCUUGAGCGACUACUAGAUGUACAGUAUGGAUGUAACACAGCUGGGAGGGGUGCUAAAGGAUGUGUUCCGUGUGUCCCAGGAAAUACGACGAGUAUCUGACCCAGACAAAGCUCAGAUUAUCUGGGAUGGAAUAAAAACGGUGCGAGCUCAGAAACAGAUUCCCGCCCUCCCUCGGCUCUCUAGAUACAUGAACAGGAAUUAUAAACUAGAUAAAGAGACUACACAACGACUACUAGAUCUAGCAGUAGAAGAUAAUCUGAUAAAACUACACAAGAAAGUCGGAACUAAGGGGAAUAAAGCAGGAGUUGAAGAAGAUGCCUACAGAUUACCGACUGAGGAUAUGUUGCCGUUUGAGCGGCAUGAUUGGUAUUGCUUCCAUUGUCAUUCUGGUGGUGAGGUUAUACUGUGCAGGGACUGCCAUAGGGUUUAUCAUCAAAGCUGUCUUAAGGACGAGCUGAUCGACCAUUUAGUGUUCGUUUGUCAAUACUGUCGAGGCUUCCAGACAAUCCCGACAGAGUUCGAUAAAAACGAGAGACGAGAUCUUAAUCAUCUUCUUAGCAUAGUAGCAACAAGGUUAAAAGAAAAGAUGCCCCACAGUAUCCUAUCCCGUGCUCCUCCUCCCCCUGCUAAGAAUCCAUAUUUGACCAGUGACCGGAAAGCUACUGUAGGUGAGGGUGGGAUUGUGAACUCGGCUGACCGGGAAGCGUUUGCUAGUUUUGGUGAGGAGAAAUGGCGCGCUAAGUUUCUAUUAAAAAGACAUAUAGACCUUGACGAGGUUUAUCUUAAAGCACAGUCAACACAGUACAGAGUACCAGACGAAUUCAGAUCUGAUGUUCAAAAUAUUGUUCAUAAUGUUGUGAUCUAUCACGGAAACUACAGUACAAUGGCUGACCAGGCGAAACAGAUGUUUAGAUCUUGUAUAACAGAACUAGCUGAGAUAUCGGCCUGUAGGGACUGCUAUAGGUUUGCCAGCACACGAGGAGAUAAAUAUUGGUUUGCAAAACCCUGCAGACCCUUUCACGAGAUAGUAUACGCUCAACAGUCAGGGUACCCCUACUGGCCGGCGAAAGUUGUUGGAACCUCGGAGGACGGGGAGCUGGAGGUCAGAUUCUUCGGAGGAUACCAUCAGAGGGCCAGGGUCAAUAAGAAGGAUGUCAAACCAAUCUCUACAAAUGUUCAUAGUCUGCAAAUCAAGAAGACAAGUGGGUGGAACAAGGCUAGUGAAGAGCUGAGUAGGUAUCAGGAACUACUGGAUAAGUGUAAACACAACUCUAACUUCCUGACCAACUACUACGGGGACCCGUUCGACGGAGAGAAGGUGUCACAGCUUACAGGUGACAAGUUUGGUGGAGAUAGUGAAUCUGAUAGUGAGGAGGAUACAAACCAACCUGGAGAACCAGGCUCUUGUCUAGCUAAUCUAGAUUUCUCAGGUAAACCAAGAAACAAGGAUACAAACCAACCUGGAGAUUCGGGAUCUUGUCUAGCUAAUCUAGAUUUCUCAGGUCUACCCUCAACUCAACCUGUUUUGACUCCCCUGACUCCAAUCUCACGAACAUCUGGUCCGCAAACUCCAACCAAUAGAUUCCCAACCAAACUCAGGCGGAUAGAACCUAAACCUCUUGGAGGUAUGGAAACCACAACUGCUAGUGUUCCCAACAACAUCAAUCAACAACAAUCAAUGAUGUUGCCGUUAACAGUAGUUACUGUUCCACAGGUUUCACAUCAACAGAUGCAGAUUCAACAACACGGUCUUCAUCUGUCUGGUCUUACCCCUGGCCAACAUAUGCCUCAGCUGUCCCAAUCCCAACAGCUGUCCCAGUCGCAGCAGUUGUCCCAACAAAUAUCCCAGUCCCUGACCCCCCAGCAUGUUCCUCAAUAUCAUAAUCUUCAACCUCAGAUAUCUCAGCAUCAAUCUUUGCAGCAGCAUGUUCAGAUGCAGUCUCUCUCCUCCCCUCAUCAUCCUUCUCUUCAUAUACAGUUCGAUACAGGGUUGCAGCAUGAGGAUCUUCUAAAUAUUAGUCCCACUCAUCAUCUUCAGCAACCUCAGCUUCAGAUUCAUCUAGAUCAACAACAGAUACAACAAGAUCAACAGAUUCAACAACAGCAGUUACAACAGCAGCAGCAACAGCUUCAACAGGAACAGUUGAUACAACAGCAACAGUCUCAAGCAGAACAGCAACAAACACAACAACAGCAGCAGAUGCAGACGAUCAGCCAACAAAUUCAGAUUCCUUCUGAGUUUGGUGUGAAGGAUGAUCAGAACAAGCUGUUGAGACCUUUGGUCAAGGAGGAGCUUAGGGAGGAGGGGGAGGGAGACGAUGCUGUUUCAUCCAGUAGCCAUCUUACAAGGUUUGUGAGUGUAUCUGUGCAGACUCCCAACAAGUUAUUAAGAAUGGUUGCUGAAGAGAUUUGUGGGCAGAACAGGGGGAAACCAGCGGAUAAGGACUUUAAGGAGUUUGCCGAGAAGCUUCGAGCUGAAUUUGAUCAAGAGAAGAAGAGAGCUGUAAAUGUUGCAACAAGAAGUCUGGAGAGAGAUCUUGAGAGAUUAAAGGCGGACCACACAACUGAGCUGGAGAACCUAUCGGAGAAGCAAAGGGUUGAGUUGAGUGAGAGUAAGAGGAAGCAGUGGUGUUAUAAUUGUGAAUCAGAGGCUAUAUACUGGUGCUGCUGGAAUACAGCUUACUGUAGUACUGACUGCCAACAGUCACAUUGGCACAGAGAGCAUAAGCGGAUGUGCAGAAGAAAACGAUAAAUCUGAAACCUUGGUUUAUGCAACAAUCCUAUAAUUUAAUCAUCCUCUCCCCUUCCUUCUUAGUUAAAAAGAAACCUGUUUCAUCAGUAAUUCAGAUGCAUUAAAGGGACUGUGUGUGUAAUUUCAAGGUCACGUAGAGUAACUUUAAGAACUUGACCAAAUUGCUUCAAAUUGAAGGGGUUGUGACCUAAAGACAAUUUUACUUUUAAAGAUUUUAAAACUAGCUUUUCUAUCUUGUAACAUGUUUUUGAGUGUGAACUUCUUCAGUCAUUCUGGAAUUGAGUGUUUUAUAUCGUUGUAAUUAAACUAGACAAAUGUUUUUAAAUGUUUUUAGUCCAAUUCGCCAUUGAUGUUAAGAUUGAUCGUCUUUCAUUUCUAACAAUUACUUAGAAGAAAGUGUUAUUUUGAAAAUAUUCUAAUUUCAAAUUAGAAUAAAUCUCGUGUGUGAAACCAAAAUUGAUGCAAAAUUAUUGGAAAUUUUGAAAAAUCGUUUCUUAAUCAAGAUUAUUUUUGUAUUUGAAAUCUAACUCGUUCAGAAUUCAUUGAUUGUCAAGUUGUACACUGUACAGUUUUCCCCAUUCUUGUACUUUAUAGUGCUGAGAAGUACAGCUUUGAAUGUCAGUACGCAUUUUAAAACAUAUCUUAAAAAUCCUCGAAUUUCCUGUACAAUGUACAGGAAACGGUUAUCUGUGUACAAUAUGCUCCUUCUUAAGAUCUGAAAAAAUGUUUAUCUUUUUAAAUCCUGCAGGGUUCAGUUUUCAAGUCAUUUCAAGUAUGUAUUGUACAGUUUUUACAUUUUAUGUACAGUAACAAGAAGUUUUAUUUGCUUUUUUUAUUUCUAUGUAGUGUAUGUACAUAAUUAAAGCUAAUUUCCGAAAAAUCAAUAGAUCUAAAAAUGUGCGAACCAUCUUCCCUAAAAUAUCUCAAG